rnacentral:rRNA from 1 species
AGAGUUUGAUCAUGGCUCAGGACGAACGCUGGCGGCGUGCCUAAUACAUGCAAGUCGAGCGAGGUCCAUCCAGUAGCAAUACUGGUGAAGACCUAGCGGCGAACGGGUGAGUAUCACGUGAGAAACCUGCCCCGAAGUCUGGGAUAAGCCGAGGAAACUUGGUCUAAUACCGGAUACCUUCCUUUGAUCGCAUGGUCGUAGGAAGAAAGAUUUAUUGCUUCGGGAGGGUCUCGCGGCCUAUCAGCUAGUUGGCGGGGUAACGGCCCACCAAGGCGUCGACGGGUAGCUGGUCUGAGAGGACGAUCAGCCACACUGGGACUGAGACACGGCCCAGACUCCUACGGGAGGCAGCAGUAGGGAAUCUUGCGCAAUGGGCGAAAGCCUGACGCAGCAACGCCGCGUGCGGGAUGACGGCCUUCGGGUUGUAAACCGCUUUCAGUGGGGACGAAAACAGACGGUACCCACAGAAGAAGCCCCGGCCAACUACGUGCCAGCAGCCGCGGUAACACGUAGGGGGCAAGCGUUGUCCGGAUUUAUUGGGCGUAAAGAGCUCGUAGGCGGCUCAGUAAGUCAGGUGUGAAAACUCCAGGCUCAACCUGGAGACGCCACCUGAUACUGCUGUGGCUAGAGUCCGGUAGGGGAGCAUGGAAUUCCUGGUGUAGCGGUGAAAUGCGCAGAUAUCAGGAGGAACACCAGUGGCGAAGGCGGUCAACUGGCCCGUAACUGACGCUCAUGCACGAAAGCGUGGGGAUCAAACAGGAUUAGAUACCCUAGUAGUCC